UGGGGAAUAUUGGACAAUGGGCGAAAGCCUGAUCCAGCAAUGCCGCGUGGGUGAAGACGGCCUGCGGGUUGUAAAGCCCUUUAGGCGGGGAGGAACGACGGGACGUGAAUAACGUUUCGGAGUGACGUUACCCGCGGAAUAAGCACCGGCUAACUCCGUGCCAGCAGCCGCGGUAAUACGGAGGGUGCGAGCGUUAAUCGGAAUUACUGGGCGUAAAGCGUGCGUAGGCGGAUGGGUCAGUCAGCCGUGAAAGCCCCGGGCUUAACCUGGGAACGGCGGUUGAGACGGCCCGUCUUGAGUGGGCUAGAGGAUCGUGGAACUCCCGGUGUAGCGGUGAAAUGCGUAGAGAUCGGGAAGAACACCGAUGGCGAAGGCAGCGAUCUGGGGCCACACUGACGCUGAGGCACGACGGCGUGGGGAGCAAACA
rnacentral:rRNA from 1 species